AAGUCGGACGGACACCUUCGGGUGUCAGUGGCGGACGGGUGAGUAACGCGUAGGAAUCUACCUCUGGGAGGGGGAUAACAGCUGGAAACGGCUGCUAAUACCCCAUACAGGCGCGAGCUGAAAGGAGCAAUCCGCCUAGGGAUGAGCCUGCGUCGGAUUAGCUAGUUGGUGGGGUAAUGGCCUACCAAGGCGACGAUCCGUAGCGGGUCUGAGAGGAUGGCCCGCCACACUGGGACUGAGACACGGCCCAGACUCCUACGGGAGGCAGCAGUGGGGAAUUUUCCGCAAUGGGCGAAAGCCUGACGGAGCAAUACCGCGUGAGGGAGGAGGGCCUUCGGGUUGUAAACCUCUUUUCUGGGGGACGAA
rnacentral:rRNA from 1 species